ensembl:lncRNA
CUAGUGGUUAGAGUGUAGGGACGGCAGGUAGCCUAGUGGUUAGAGUGUAGGGACGGCAGGUAGCCUAGUGGUUAGAGUGUAGGGACGGCAGGUAGCCUAGUGGUUAGAGCGUAGGGGCGGCAGGUAGCCUAGUGGUUAGAGUGUAGGGACGGCAGGGUAGCCUAGUGGUUAGAGUGUAGGGACGGCAGGUAGCCUAGUGGUUAGAGUGUAGGGACGGCAGGGUAGCCUAGUGGUUAGAGUGUAGGGACGGCAGGUAGCCUAGUGGUUAGAGUGUAGGGACGGCAGGGUAGCCUAGUGGUUAGAGUGUAGGGACGGCAGGUAGCCUAGUGGUUAGAGUGUAGGGACGGCAGGUAGCCUAGUGGUUAGAGUGUAGGGACGGCAGGUAGCCUAGUGGUUAGAGUGUAGGGACGGCAGGGUAGCCUAGUGGUUAGAGUGUAGGGACGGCAGGUAGCCUA